CCUACGGGAGGCAGCAGUGGGGAAUAUUGGGCAAUGGGCGCAAGCCUGACCCAGCAACGCCGCGUGAAGGAAGAAGGCUUUCGGGUUGUAAACUUCUUUUCUGAGGGACGAAGAAAGUGACGGUACCUCAGGAAUAAGCCACGGCUAACUACGUGCCAGCAGCCGCGGUAAUACGUAGGUGGCAAGCGUUAUCCGGAUUUAUUGGGUGUAAAGGGCGUGUAGGCGGGAAAGCAAGUCAGAUGUGAAAACUCAGGGCUCAACCCUGAGCCUGCAUUUGAAACGGUUUUUCUUGAGUGCUGGAGAGGCAAUCGGAAUUCCGGGUGUAGCGGUGAAAUGCGUAGAUAUACGGAGGAACACCAGUGGCGAAGGCGGCCUGCUGGACAGUAACUGACGUUGAGGCUCGAAAGCGUGGGGAGCAAACAGGAUUAGAUACCCUAGUAGUC
rnacentral:rRNA from 1 species